UGAGUAACGCGUAGGAACCUGUCGCGCGGUGGGGGAUAACAGACGGAAACGUCUGCUAAUACCGCAUGUGGUCAGUAGUGAAGAAAGCAGCAAUGCGCUGUGCGAGGGGCCUGCGUCCGAUUAGCUGGUUGGUGGGGUAAAGGCCUACCAAGGCAUCGAUCGGUAGCUGGUCUGAGAGGAUGGUCAGCCACACUGGGACUGAGACACGGCCCAG
rnacentral:rRNA from 1 species